GGGCGCGCGCAGAGAGCCCGGGGCCGCGUCCUCGACACCAACAGAGCUCCUGGUUGUGGUCCAGGCGGUCGCGGGUUCGAGUCCCGUCGCUCA
rnacentral:tRNA from 1 species